AAAAUUUUGUCUAUGUUUGUGUACUAGGGGCUUUGAUUUGCUCUGUGAUUUUGUUUUGUUGGGUUGAAAUUUUAGAAUUCUGGGGUAGAUUUAAAGGUAUUUGCAGCUUUUCUUGGCUGAUUGGGGCCUUCCUUCAGGGCACAGAG